rnacentral:rRNA from 1 species
AGCAGCCGCGGUAAUUCCAGCUCCAAUAGCGUAUAUUAAAGUUGUUGCAGUUAAAAAGCUCGUAGUUGAAUUUCGGGAUCAAGUCGUCGGUCGUGCUCAGGUACGUACUGGCGUCAUUGAUUUCUCCCUUCUGACGAACCAUGAUGUCAUUAAUUUGGUGUUAUGGGAAAUCAGGACUGUUACUUUGAAAAAGUUAGAGUGUUUAAAGCAGGCUCACGCUUGAAUACAUUAGCAUGGAAUAAUGAAAUAGGACGUUCGAUCCUAUUUUGUUGGUUUUAGGAUCAACGUAAUGAUUAAUAGGGAUAGUUGGGGGCAUUAGUAUUCAAUUGUCAGAGGUGAAAUUCUUGGAUUUAUUGAAGACUAACUACUGCGAAAGCAUUUGCCAAGGAUGUUUUCAUUAAUCAAGAACGAAAGUUAGGGGAUCGAAGACGAUCAGAUACCGUCGUAGUCUUAACCAUAAACUAUGCCGACUAGGGAUCGGAUGAUGUUAAUUUUUAAUGUACU